rnacentral:rRNA from 1 species
CUUAAGCAUAUCAAUAAGCGGAGGAAAAGAAACCAACAGGGAUUGCCUUAGUAACGGCGAGUGAAGCGGCAACAGCUCAAAUUUGAAAGCUGGCUCCUUUGGAGUCCGCGUUGUAAUUUGUAGAGGAUGAUUCGGCAAGGGCUCCCGCCUAAGUCUCCUGGAACGGAGCGUCAUAGAGGGUGAGAAUCCCGUAUGCGGUGGGCUGCCUAAGCCAUGUGAAUCUCCUUCGACGAGUCGAGUUGUUUGGGAAUGCAGCUCUAAAUGGGAGGUAAAUUUCUUCUAAAGCUAAAUACCGGCCAGAGACCGAUAGCGCACAAGUAGAGUGAUCGAAAGAUGAAAAGCACUUUGGAAAGAGAGUUAAAAAGUACGUGAAAUUGUUGAAAGGGAAGCGCUUGCAGCCAGACUUGUCCGCAGUUGCUCAGCCGGUCUCCUGACCGGUGUACUCUUCUGCGGCCAGGCCAGCAUCAGUUCGGGCGGUCGGAUAAAGACCUCGGGAAUGUAGCUCCUCUCGGGGAGUGUUAUAGCCCGGGGUGGAAUGCGGCCAGCCUGGACUGAGGAUCUCGCUUCGGCUAGGAUGCUGGCGUAAUGGCUGUAAGCGGCCCGUCUUGAAACACGGACCAAGGAGUCUAACAUCUAUGCGAGUGUUUGGGUGUCAAACCCAUGCGCGUAAUGAAAGUGAACGGAGGUGGGAACCCUCACGGGUGCACCAUCGACCGAUCCUGAUGUCUUCGGAUGGAUUUGAGUAAGAGCAUAGCUGUUGGGACCCGAAAGAUGGUGAACUAUGCCUGAAUAGGGUGAAGCCAGAGGAAACUCUGGUGGAGGCUCGCAGCGGUUCUGACGUGCAAAUCGAUCGUCAAAUUUGGGUAUAGGGGCGAAAGACUAAUCGAACCAUCUAGUAGCUG